CUUCUUUUUCCACCGGAGCUUGCUCCACCGGAAAAAGAGGAGUGGCGAACGGGUGAGUAACACGUGGGUAACCUGCCCAUCAGAAGGGGAUAACACUUGGAAACAGGUGCUAAUACCGUAUAACAAUCGAAACCGCAUGGUUUUGAUUUGAAAGGCGCUUUCGGGUGUCGCUGAUGGAUGGACCCGCGGUGCAUUAGCUAGUUGGUGAGGUAACGGCUCACCAAGGCCACGAUGCAUAGCCGACCUGAGAGGGUGAUCGGCCACAUUGGGACUGCGACACGGCCCAAACUCCUACGGGAGGCAGCAGUAGGGAAUCUUCGGCAAUGGACGAAAGUCUGACCGAGCAACGCCGCGUGAGUGAAGAAGGUUUUCGGAUCGUAAAACUCUGUUGUUAGAGAAGAACAAGGAUGAGAGUAACUGUUCAUCCCUUGACGGUAUCUAACCAGAAAGCCACGGCUAACUACGUGCCAGCAGCCGCGGUAAUACGUAGGUGGCAAGCGUUGUCCGGAUUUAUUGGGCGUAAAGCGAGCGCAGGCGGUUUCUUAAGUCUGAUGUGAAAGCCCCCGGCUCAACCGGGGAGGGUCAUUGGAAACUGGGAGACUUGAGUGCAGAAGAGGAGAGUGGAAUUCCAUGUGUAGCGGUGAAAUGCGUAGAUAUAUGGAGGAACCCAGUGGCGAGGCGGCUCUCUGGUCUGUACUGA
rnacentral:rRNA from 1 species